rnacentral:misc_RNA from 1 species
GUAUUAAUUGCGUGUGAUCGCAAAAGAAAAACAUUCUACACUGUAUCGAGUUUGUGUGAAAACGUGAGCCCCCGAAAGGGGACCCACGCGGUGGUGCACAUAGGGGUGAGAUGGAUGUUUGAGAACGCUCGGGCGUGCACGACGAAAAGUCAGCGACAGCCCUUGCACCUCAGUUUUACAAUAAUGAUCCUUCCGCAGGUUCACCUACGGAAA